GUGUGUGUGUGUGUGUGUGUGUGUGUGUGUAACAGCAGUUUCCUGCGGUAUCGCUAUGACAACCAGCCAUGCUCGCCUCACGCAUGAGGCGGUACUUAAUCUGCAAUGGAAAAUGGAAGAUGGGGAACCGUGG